rnacentral:rRNA from 1 species
UACGAAGGGGGCUAGCGUUGUUCGGAAUUACUGGGCGUAAAGCGCACGUAGGCGGACAUUUAAGUCAGGGGUGAAAUCCCGGAGCUCAACUCCGGAACUGCCUUUGAUACUGGGUGUCUUGAGUGUGGAAGAGGUGAGUGGAAUUCCGAGUGUAGAGGUGAAAUUCGUAGAUAUUCGGAGGAACACCAGUGGCGAAGUCGGCUCACUGGUCCAUUACUGACGCUGAGGUGCGAAAGCGUGGGGAGCAAACAGG